AAAAAAAAAAAAAAAAAAAAAAAAAAAAAAAGAUCUAUGGGCUGGGCUUCAAAUAAUUUGAAAGGGGAGUUUCCGAUUGCUCUAAAACACGCAAAGAAUGGGCAAAUUUCUCUUGAUUUUGAUCCAUUCUUCCAAUGCCCCUAACGCAAAUUUUCUUGAAUCUUGGAUAACGAAAUUGGGGAAAAGCACAGAGUAGAUCAUUUCAUUCAGAAGCGGUAGAGAAUUCUGACAUUUUUCUUUAUUAGUAUUCCAAAUAAUCAGGUGCAAUGGCUGAGAUAAUAAACAAGUUUUUCAUCGCAUCCAUGUGUAUGUUGGCUGCCCCUCUUGCUAUUCUGUAUGGCUACAAGAAAGAUUUAUUACCUGGUUCGAAUGAUCUGUCGCCAGCAGCAAUGACAUUGUGGACUGGAAUCCUUACAGUGGUGUCCGUCAAUAUGGUUAUAGCAUUCUUCAUUUAUAUGGCAGUAAAAGACCAACAUGAGCCACUUCAUCCUAAGCAAGAAUAGCAAAAUUCAUGAAUUAGAUAUAAUACUGUAGUUGAACAAUAAGGCGUUCCGUUCCUCAAUAAAUUAAAGAGACAAGUUUUUCUUGUUCUUACAUUAGAGUUUUUAUAUAUGUCAGCAUAUCAUUGUGUACGGCCAUUGUCAUUCCAUCCUUGAAUUCCAUCUUAAAUUAAACGU